CCCUUAGAUGUUCUGGGCGGCCCGCGCACUACAUUGGCACUCUCAAUAAGUUCCUAGAUCUAAAACUUUGGGGUAUUCUAUUAAGUGGUGUCGUGACUGGGAUUAACCCUUGCAAUUAUUGGUUACGAACGAGGAAUUCCUUGUAAUCGCGGUUUAUCAGCCCGCGUUGAAUGCGUCCCUGCCCUUUGUACACACCGCCCGUCGCUCCUACCGAUGAAUCGUCCGGUGAAGUUCAUGGAGUGGUGGUUGUUCCAGCUGCUGUCGAAGUGAAAUGGACCUCACGAUUUAGAGGAAGGGGAAGUCGUAACA
rnacentral:rRNA from 1 species